rnacentral:rRNA from 1 species
UCGGAGUUAGUGGCGGACGGGUGAGUAACACGUGGGAACGUGCCUUUUGGUUCGGAAUAACUCAGGGAAACUUGUGCUAAUACCGAAUGUGCCCUUCGGGGGAAAGAUUUAUCGCCAUUAGAGCGGCCCGCGUCUGAUUAGCUAGUUGGUGAGGUAAAGGCUCACCAAGGCGACGAUCAGUAGCUGGUCUGAGAGGAUGAUCAGCCACAUUGGGACUGAGACACGGCCCAAACUCCUACGGGAGGCAGCAGUGGGGAAUCUUGCGCAAUGGGCGAAAGCCUGACGCAGCCAUGCCGCGUGAAUGAUGAAGGUCUUAGGAUUGUAAAAUUCUUUCACCGGGGACGAUAAUGACGGUACCCGGAGAAGAAGCCCCGGCUAACUUCGUGCCAGCAGCCGCGGUAAUACGAAGGGGGCUAGCGUUGCUCGGAAUUACUGGGCGUAAAGGGAGCGUAGGCGGACAUUUAAGUCAGGGGUGAAAUCCCGGGGCUCAACCUCGGAAUUGCCUUUGAUACUGGGUGUCUUGAGUAUGAGAGAGGUAUGUGGAACUCCGAGUGUAGAGGUGAAAUUCGUAGAUAUUCGGAAGAACACCAGUGGCGAAGGCGACAUACUGGCUCAUUACUGACGCUGAGGCUCGAAAGCGUGGGGAGCAAACAGGAUUAGAUACCCUGGUAGUCCACGCCGUAAACGAUG